rnacentral:rRNA from 1 species
UACAGAGGUCUCAAGCGUUGUUCGGAUUUAUUGGGCGUAAAGGGCGCGUAGGCGGCGCGGUAAGUCGGGUGUGAAAUCUCGGAGCUUAACUCCGAAACUGCAUUCGAUACUGCCGUGCUUGAGGACUGGAGAGGAGACUGGAAUUUACGGUGUAGCGGUGAAAUGCGUAGAUAUCGUAAGGAAGACCAGUGGCGAAGGCGGGUCUCUGGACAGUUCCUGACGCUGAGGCGCGAAGGUCAGGGGAGCAAACGGG